UUCGCCUGUUUAUCAAAAACAUGUCCGUGUGAAUUUAUUACAAGGUCUAGCCUGCCACUGACUGGUGGUUAAAGGGCUGCGGUAAUUUGACCGUGCGAAGGUAGCAUAAUCAAUAGUCUCUUAAUUGGAGGCUUGAAUGAACGGCUGGAUGAGGGAUUAACUGUCUUCCGUUGUACAUGUUGAAUUUAACUUUUAAGUGAGAAGGCUUAAAUAUAAUAGUGGGACGAUAAGACCCUAUAAAACUUUAUAUAAGUGGAUUGAGCCUGUGAUUUAUCUGGUAAAGUGGGCUGGGUUUUUUUAUAUUUUGUUGGGGCGACAUUGAUAAAAUUUGUUGGUAACUGUUCUGUGAAUUUUAUAAUGGUGGUUAGGUAAAGAUCCUUUUAUAGGGAUUAAGAGUUUAAGUUACUUUAGGGAUAACAGCGUAAUUUUUCUUGAGAGUUCUUAUCGACAGAAGUAGUUGCGACCUCGAUGUUGAAUUAAAGUUUCGGUUAGGUGUAGCAGCUUAACUUGUGGGUCUGUUCGACCUUUAAAGCUUUACAUGAUCUGAGUUCAAACCGGA
rnacentral:rRNA from 1 species